UACGUAGGGUGCAAGCGUUAAUCGGAAUUACUGGGCGUAAAGCGUGCGCAGGCGGUUUUGUAUGUCUGAUGUGAAAUCCCCGGGCUCAACCUGGGAAUUGCAUUGGAGACUGCAAGGCUAGAAUCUGGCAGAGGGGGGUAGAAUUCCACGUGUAGCAGUGAAAUGCGUAGAGAUGUGGAGGAACACCGAUGGCGAAGGCAGCCCCCUGGGUCAAGAUUGACGCUCAUGCACGAAAGCGUGGGGAGCAAACAGG
rnacentral:rRNA from 1 species